rnacentral:rRNA from 1 species
UUGUAACACCCGCAAGCCGGUGGAGUAACCUUUUAGGAGCUAGCCGUCGAAGGUGGGACAAAUGAUUGGGGUGAAGUCGUAACAAGGUAGCCGUAUCGGAAGGUGC